UUAAGCGACUAAGCGUACACGGUGGAUGCCCUGGCAGUCAGAGGCGAUGAAGGACGUGCUAAUCUGCGAUAAGCGUCGGUAAGGUGAUAUGAACCGUUAUAACCGGCGAUUUCCGAAUGGGGAAACCCAGUGUGUUUCGACACACUAUCAUUAACUGAAUCCAUAGGUUAAUGAGGCGAACCGGGGGAACUGAAACAUCUAAGUACCCCGAGGAAAAGAAAUCAACCGAGAUUCCCCCAGUAGCGGCGAGCGAACGGGGAGCAGCCCAGAGCCUGAAUCAGUGUGUGUGUUAGUGGAAGCGUCUGGAAAGGCGCGCGAUACAGGGUGACAGCCCCGUACACAAAAUGCACAUGCUGUGUAGCUCGAUGAGUAGGGCGGGACACGUGGUAUCCUGUCUGAAUAUGGGGGGACCAUCCUCCAAGGCUAAAUACUCCUGACUGACCGAUAGUGAACCAGUACCGUGAGGGAAAGGCGAAAAGAACCCCGGCGAGGGGAGUGAAAAAGAACCUGAAACCGUGUACGUACAAGCAGUGGGAGCACAGAGCAAUCUGUGUGACUGCGUACCUUUUGUAUAAUGGGUCAGCGACUUAUAUUCUGUAGCAAGGUUAACCGAAUAGGGGAGCCGAAGGGAAACCGAGUCUUAACUGGGCGUUAAGUUGCAGGGUAUAGACCCGAAACCCGGUGAUCUAGCCAUGGGCAGGUUGAAGGUUGGGUAACACUAACUGGAGGACCGAACCGACUAAUGUUGAAAAAUUAGCGGAUGACUUGUGGCUGGGGGUGAAAGGCCAAUCAAACCGGGAGAUAGCUGGUUCUCCCCGAAAGCUAUUUAGGUAGCGCCUCGUGAAUUCAUCUCCGGGGGUAGAGCACUGUUUCGGCAAGGGGGUCAUCCCGACUUACCAACCCGAUGCAAACUGCGAAUACCGGAGAAUGUUAUCACGGGAGACACACGGCGGGUGCUAACGUCCGUCGUGAAGAGGGAAACAACCCAGACCGCCAGCUAAGGUCCCAAAGUCAUGGUAAGUGGGAAACGAUGUGGGAAGGCCCAGACAGCCAGGAUGUUGGCUUGGAAGCAGCCAUCAUUUAAAGAAAGCGUAAUAGCUCACUGGUCGAGUCGGCCUGCGCGGAAGAUGUAACGGGGCUAAACCAUGCACCGAAGCUGCGGCAGCGACGCUUAUGCGUUGUUGGGUAGGGGAGCGUUCUGUAAGCCUGCGAAGGUGUGCUGUGAGGCAUGCUGGAGGUAUCAGAAGUGCGAAUGCUGACAUAAGUAACGAUAAAGCGGGUGAAAAGCCCGCUCGCCGGAAGACCAAGGGUUCCUGUCCAACGUUAAUCGGGGCAGGGUGAGUCGACCCCUAAGGCGAGGCCGAAAGGCGUAGUCGAUGGGAAACAGGUUAAUAUUCCUGUACUUGGUGUUACUGCGAAGGGGGGACGGAGAAGGCUAUGUUGGCCGGGCGACGGUUGUCCCGGUUUAAGCGUGUAGGCUGGUUUUCCAGGCAAAUCCGGAAAAUCAAGGCUGAGGCGUGAUGACGAGGCACUACGGUGCUGAAGCAACAAAUGCCCUGCUUCCAGGAAAAGCCUCUAAGCAUCAGGUAACAUCAAAUCGUACCCCAAACCGACACAGGUGGUCAGGUAGAGAAUACCAAGGCGCUUGAGAGAACUCGGGUGAAGGAACUAGGCAAAAUGGUGCCGUAACUUCGGGAGAAGGCACGCUGAUACGUAGGUGAAGUCCCUCGCGGAUGGAGCUGAAAUCAGUCGAAGAUACCAGCUGGCUGCAACUGUUUAUUAAAAACACAGCACUGUGCAAACACGAAAGUGGACGUAUACGGUGUGACGCCUGCCCGGUGCCGGAAGGUUAAUUGAUGGGGUCAGCGCAAGCGAAGCUCUUGAUCGAAGCCCCGGUAAACGGCGGCCGUAACUAUAACGGUCCUAAGGUAGCGAAAUUCCUUGUCGGGUAAGUUCCGACCUGCACGAAUGGCGUAAUGAUGGCCAGGCUGUCUCCACCCGAGACUCAGUGAAAUUGAACUCGCUGUGAAGAUGCAGUGUACCCGCGGCAAGACGGAAAGACCCCGUGAACCUUUACUAUAGCUUGACACUGAACAUUGAGCCUUGAUGUGUAGGAUAGGUGGGAGGCUUUGAAGUGUGGACGCCAGUCUGCAUGGAGCCGACCUUGAAAUACCACCCUUUAAUGUUUGAUGUUCUAACGUGGACCCGUGAUCCGGGUUGCGGACAGUGUCUGGUGGGUAGUUUGACUGGGGCGGUCUCCUCCUAAAGAGUAACGGAGGAGCACGAAGGUUGGCUAAUCCUGGUCGGACAUCAGGAGGUUAGUGCAAUGGCAUAAGCCAGCUUGACUGCGAGCGUGACGGCGCGAGCAGGUGCGAAAGCAGGUCAUAGUGAUCCGGUGGUUCUGAAUGGAAGGGCCAUCGCUCAACGGAUAAAAGGUACUCCGGGGAUAACAGGCUGAUACCGCCCAAGAGUUCAUAUCGACGGCGGUGUUUGGCACCUCGAUGUCGGCUCAUCACAUCCUGGGGCUGAAGUAGGUCCCAAGGGUAUGGCUGUUCGCCAUUUAAAGUGGUACGCGAGCUGGGUUUAGAACGUCGUGAGACAGUUCGGUCCCUAUCUGCCGUGGGCGCUGGAGAACUGAGGGGGGCUGCUCCUAGUACGAGAGGACCGGAGUGGACGCAUCACUGGUGUUCGGGUUGUCAUGCCAAUGGCACUGCCCGGUAGCUAAAUGCGGAAGAGAUAAGUGCUGAAAGCAUCUAAGCACGAAACUUGCCCCGAGAUGAGUUCUCCCUGACUCCUUGAGAGUCCUGAAGGAACGUUGAAGACGACGACGUUGAUAGGCCGGGUGUGUAAGCGCAGCGAUGCGUUGAGCUAACCGGUACUAAUGAACCGUGAGGCUUAACCUU
rnacentral:rRNA from 1 species